CUAGCGUGUGCGCUCUCCGCGCCGCAGGCACCUGCUCGCUGGGCGCUGUGCGCUCACUUCUCCCUCGCGCACUGCAGACUCCCGGCGCUGCCGCCGCCACCCAGCGUAGUCUCCGGCUGGGCACAGCGUUCCGCCCUUCUCGCGGCCCCGGGCGCCCACCCAUCCGUCAUGGCCCAGGCCUGGGCCAAACAGCGGGGCAGCUGGUUGCCCAAACUGGGGUCUGCGCGCCGCGGCUGAGCGCCCACUCGCCCUGCGGAAAGAGCCGCGGAGGAACCGGCGGGGGCGGCUGCGGGAGCCGAAGGAGGUGGCAAUCGGGAGCAGAACCAGAAGGAGACAGGGAGGCAGAAGCUCGCGGCUCCGUGGCACGCACUCCCUCGGCCAGGGAUGGGUCCCGGCGCGGCCCAGCCCCUGCCCGGCCCGCCGGGCAGAGACUGAACCGCGGAUCCCCACCGUCCUGUGGACGACCGGACAGAGAGAGGCACUGACCGAUCGCCAGCAGCCUCCCGGUGGGACCGCGUCUCCUGCACACCCCGCG
rnacentral:lncRNA from 10 species